rnacentral:rRNA from 1 species
UCGCAAGACAGUGGCGCACGGGUGAGUAACACGUAGCUUAUCUGCCCCAAAGCGCGGGAUAACGCUCCGAAAGGAGUGCUAAUACCGCAUAAGCUCCCGGUCUCUAGAGGAUUGGGAGAAAAGGCGCAAGUCACUUUGGGAGGAGGCUGCGGCCCAUCAGGUAGUUGGUGAGGUAAUGGCUCACCAAGCCGACGACGGGUAGGGGACCUGAGAGGGUGAUCCCCCACACUGGGACUGAGACACGGCCCAGACUCCUACGGGAGGCAGCAGUGAGGAAUAUUGCCCAAUGGGCGCAAGCCUGAGGCAGCGACGCCGCGUGGGUGAUGAAGGCCUUCGGG